AAAGAAUUAGUUAAAAAAUAACAUAAAAAUGUCAAAUUUAAAUUAUUAUAUGAAUAAUAUUCUUUU
rnacentral:tRNA from 1 species